rnacentral:rRNA from 1 species
UGGCGAACGGGUGAGUAAUAUAUCGGAACGUACCCAGAAGUGGGGGAUAACGUAGCGAAAGUUACGCUAAUACCGCAUACGAUCUACGGAUGAAAGUGGGGGACCUUCGGGCCUCAUGCUUUUGGAGCGGCCGAUAUCUGAUUAGCUAGUUGGUGAGGUAAAGGCUCACCAAGGCGACGAUCAGUAGCUGGUCUGAGAGGACGACCAGCCACACUGGGACUGAGACACGGCCCAGACUCCUACGGGAGGCAGCAGUGGGGAAUUUUGGACAAUGGGCGCAAGCCUGAUCCAGCAAUGCCGCGUGAGUGAAGAAGGCCUUCGGGUUGUAAAGCUCUUUUGUCA